rnacentral:lncRNA from 10 species
GGGGGUACUCAGGUGGCUGAUUUAUGAGGCCAGAUUAAGAAGACUGAUGGCCUGUCCCUUAGCCAAGAAAUGAGUCCUGUUGCAAACCGUUGAAGGGCACAAAGGUGGAGGAGGGAGAGGCUUUGUAGACAGUGGUUUGGGAGUAAUGAGGAAUAAUGGGCUGAAACAGAGCCGGAUAGCAGGAAAGCUGGCUUGGCUGUGAAGUCUGCAUGAGCUGGAAGCCAGCGCUGGCAGCGAGGGAUAGGGCCGUGAUCUUGAAUCAUGGGGAACCUGACUGGACCAGGCGUGGGAGGCAGAAUGGGAUUUGGCCCAAGACUAUUCGUCUGCAGCCACCUUGGGCUAUGCGGUCACCCUGCUGUCCCUGGACUGCCUAACUCAGGAGCCGCAAAGUAAAUUUCGAGAGGAGCUCCGCUUCCUGCCUGGCAAAGGACCUAUGGGGAAAGUUCUGGAAGACCAGGAAGGCUGGCCUCACCACUUCCCCAUGCUCAUGAAAGCAUUUUGUGAGCUCCCUGAGACAUGUUCCGGGAUCCGAAGCCCCCCUGGGGAAGUGUGCUGCGUCUUGGGCCUUGUCCACAGGAGCGUGAGUGGGACGUUUGAAAUUUCCUAAACUGAUGACCAGGCUUCACGCCGCUCAAGUCCGCCACAGCCUGCAGAGGCCACCCCCAGGCAGGGCCCAUCCAUCUGUGCCCACGCAAGCUCCUGUGCUGGAUGAAGCUGCCCCGUGACUCAGGUUCUGACUCAGCGCCAGCUAGGUGGGCAUAGGCCAUGCUGGCCAGGGUACUCUUCCUGGAGGUGUGGGUGCCCCGGGAGUGUGGGCAUGGCCCCAGGGGGCAGCUCUGGGCAGCAUGGCUUUCCUGGGCACCUACUUGGACUCUUGUGGCCUGGGAGGCAGGAAGCGUUUCUCCCUGUUUUGCAGGUGAGAAGGUGGAUGCUGGAAAAGUCCAUGCCUUGCUCAAGGCCACACGGUUGCCAGGUGGGUUUGAACGAGGUUUAUCUGACUCCAGGGCCCUUGCUCUGACCCAGUCCAUCCUGCCGCUCCCCAGACGUCUGCAGGGCGGGUGAACCUCUCUAGGAAGAGGGUUGAGAUGGCCGUGCUGUGUGUGCAGACCCUGCCUGGCUCAGACAGGCUCUGUCCUUAGUUACGUGACCUUGAAUGAACGGUGUCACCACCCCCAGCCUCUCCCAGAAAAAGGGGCAGGAGCUGUUACCCACUUUGGUGGUGGUGGGAGGCAGGUGAGUAGGGAGCCAAGCCUAUAAAACUGAGUCAGCUCAGCCCUGUGCAGGUGCCGGUGUCCGUCCCCUGCCUUCUGAGGGCCAGUGCGUGCUGCUUCCCUGGGCCCUGCGGAGGCCCCUGCACUGUCAACGGGGAUGAUGUCCCCUCCUCAUGCAAAACAGCUCUCCCAGGGUAGGCCCUGAUGGGCCACGCACACUGGCCACAUCCUGCUCUGAUCUGCGUCUUCUGGGACAGCUCAGUGUGGCCAUCUUGGACCUGGUGGUCCACCAGGUCCUGCAGCCGGAGCCUGUCCCUCCCCACCCCGCCUUGGGGCACUCUGCUUUGCAGCAGCCUUGCUGUGGUGUCUCUCCCUUCCCGCUGGCAGACAGCAGUGUUUCGGGCACACAAAGGAUUCAUCUGUAGGGUUCUUAUUUCCCCAUGAAACUCGGUGCUUGACAGACAGGAGUGGCAUCUCUGUGCAGCCAUAGACAAAAGUGAGAGCGUCCUCCCCGCCCCCACACAGCAGACCCCGCCCUGGACUCCUGGGGUGACGCUCAGCAGACCGGGGCUUAAAUUCGGCUUCACAGCUCAUGAGCAGUCACACUCCGUGUAGAUUUGUAUUCAGGGAAGGCUUUGGGGAAAAGUAAUAAAAAAUCGGGGGAGGGAGCAGCUCAACACGCCCAAGUAAGAUUUCUCAUUAGUUUGAAAGAUGGACAAGGAACCUGCUCUUUAAUGAAGAAAAUGGAUUGUGCCCUGACUAAGUAGUCUGGAACUUGGAGACGGCGCUGCGGCUCUGGUUCUGACCUUCACAGACGUCUCAGAAUACACCCAGCUUCAAACCCAGCGAGGACCUGCCCAGUUUGGGGUGACUUUAAGAUUCUCAUCUGGCAGGGCGCGGUGGUUCGUGCCUGUAAUGCCAGCACUUGGGAAGGCCGAGGGGGGCGGGUCUCUUGAGCCUAACGGUUCGAGACCAGCCCAGGCAACAUGGCGAAACUCUGUCUCUACAAAAAAAUACCAAAGUCAGCCCAGUGUCGUGGCAUGUGCCUGUAAUCCCAGCUACUCAGGGAGCUGAGGCGGGAGGAUCGCUUGAGCCCAGGAGGUUGAGGCUGUAGUGAGCCAUGAUUGCGCUACUGCACUCCAGCCUGGGCAACAGAGUGAGACCUUGUCUCAAAAAUAAAGAAAAACGAAAAAGAAAAAUUCUCAUCAGGCCAAGCCCCUGGCCCUCCCAGGCUCACCAAAGCCUGAGAGGAGGAGAGGAUGCUGGUUGGAGGGGCCGUGUCUGCUCUAGGGCUGCGGCAUUGGGCUGUGACUCUGUUUCUCCAGGCCUCAGUGUCACUGUUGGCUGGUGAUUGCCUUCCCACUGCAGAGCAGCUCCAGGAUGCUCAGUGAGAGCCGGGCAAGCUCCCCCUGCAGCAUCUUGCCUUCCUGCCCUGGCGACACCUCACCUGGUCAUCUGGUGAGAGAGGCUGUCUGCUCAGCGGAGUCACUGACUGAGCCCAGGGGCCUGGCUUUCCACACUCAGCGAGGCUUCAGGCCAGGGGUGGAUGCAGUCACUGCAGAUGGGCCCAGGCACCCCCUGCUCAGGCUUCACCUGCAGUUUUAACUGGAGGUGAUGAGUGUCUCUACAUGGGCCCCAUAGAGUUGGACCAUGUUGAAUGAGGCCUGUGUAAUCCAGCUCUGGGAUGGGCCGAGCCAUUUCUCAGCCCAGAUGCAACUUCUUCCUGGAGAAAGACCUUGAAACACCUAAUAAACAAGGUCCAAACACAGGAAAUACAGCUCAGAUCCUUCCACGCACAGCUUCUGCGGUGACACCAGCCACAUAAAAAUGAUAAAGGCCAUUUAUCCUCUGUCUUUGGAACAUAAAAGCAGGUUCUUAGGACUGCAGCUAUAAUAUGUUAAUGGAAUUUCUGUUCGGGAGCUGGCAACAGCACCCUGCCUUCCAGAAGCAAGGCCUCCGGGGACAGCCUGUAGCUCUCAUUAAAGAAGAUUCCACAUGCUCUUAGAUUAAUGGCCAGCUUUAACAGCUGUGGGGCCUCUUCCUCCCCUGGGCUCUGAGUGUGAUGGUGUGAUGGU